GCCGCGGCGGCCGGGGGAGCCGGGGUUUCCCCGCUACUCGCCCUGCCGCGCCGUUUGAGGGCCCCGGGGGCGACGGAGCAGGGUCAGGCCGGCGGCCGGCCGCCGCCUCCGCCGCGGGGCAGCCCCCGGGCCAGGUCCUCCGCCCCUUCGCAGGAGGAGCUGGGGGGGUCAGUCGAGGAGCGGCCCCUGCCCGCAGCGGGAAGAAUGGCGAUAUCAGUCAUCCAACGCUGUAGCAGCACUCUGAUCUGCACGAUUGAGAGGUUUUGAAAAACAUCUCAUCUAGAAAGCAGACCUUUUGCAUAAAGGCUUUCAGAUGACACCACAUCUUACAGCUGUGUCUUCAGGAAGAACUGCUUUCGCAUGGGAGUGAAGUAGACUUUUCUGAAAAUAAGCUGAAGGUUACAUCUGGGAGACGAGAACAUAUUUUCCCACAGAAGAUAUUAAAGGCUUUAUGAUUAUGCCAGAGCACAAAGUUAAGUAUAUGGAACCAUUAAAGUUUGACAAGGCACCUGAUCUAGAUGAAUAACAUUCCCGAAUUCCAGAGGAAUCUUUAAGGCUGUUUUCUAAACCAGUGUGAUGCCUCAGGUGCAGAAGAGAGAGACAGUAAUUAACAAUGUGGCCUACAGCAUCUUGGGGAGCGGUUAAUUUUAGUGAAUGGACGGGGGAGGAAGAAGAAGGAAGGUAGAGAAGAAGGACUUAUUAAUGCUUGGCCUCUGCCUGUGCUCUGUAACGAGAUAUGGCAAAGCUCAGUCCUCAAGUCUUCUUCCUGUGACCAGAAACAUGAAAGAGAAGCUAAGUAUGCCUCAGUUUCCGUUGGACAAAAAUAUUUCGAAUCCUUCAAAGGAGAGUAUACAUUUGGACACAAGAAACGCAGAUGCCAUUUCCUUUUCUUCUUCAAGCGUACUCUGGUGAAAGUCCUGCUGACCUUUUGUGAAAGAUGGCUUCCUGAAAAUAAGAUUCAUACAUUAAUUUUGCUUAAGAUACUGUCGCUUUGAAGAGUAACACAAAUAAUGUAAGAGGAAGAUUUUUCUAAAGCUCCCUGUGAACGUUUUUGGUUCACAAAAAGGAAAAUAUGGAAACAAAAUGGAAACAUAUGUCAGUUCUUAUGCCGAUUGUGGAAAGGCUGGGUAACAGCCUGUUGGAGAGAGACGGAGUCCGGGGAUCCACACAAGCACAGCCCUUGCCUGCAAUGUAUCUUUUGAGCUGAACAUGAAAUGAAGGGUUUGCUUUAAGGGACCAGCUUCACGGGCACCCUCCUGGUGAGGCAGAAGGUGUGCACCUAAGUCAGGGGACUGGAUCCUGGCGCUUUCGCUGCAGGUCAUACCAUACCUGAUCGAUUCCCUUCGCCUGCGCGAUUCUUCAGGGAAGACAAAUGUUUCUGGAGUUACAGCAAGCCGAGUUCCCCAGACACACACGCUCUCAAAGUGUGCCUGCUUCUACAAAGUGGAAAAGCUUUGAUUAAUAGGAGUAGCACUAGACUUUAAGGCGCGCUUUAUUUCAUUGAUGAACUUUGAGGUGUCUCCUGCAGUAACGGUUUUCUAAACUGUAAUCGUUAACAUCGUUUAUUCAGGAUUUACAAGCGAAACUAGCGUUGCCUAUUUUGUUCAGGCUGCUACAGGGACAAAUAACUGAUGUUGAAGAAGCAGAUCAGGAUCUCUGUGGAAAAAGAAGAAAAAAGAAGAAAACAAAGAAUGGUGGGGGGGUUUUAUAACCAGCAAGGCAUUUUUCUGAGGUGCUUGUAGAAGUACGUGGUUUUACAUGACUGUUUUAUAAAAGAGGGAAAGGUGAUGUGUGGGCUCCAUUACAUAAUAUUAUUGCAGAGCUUAAUCGGCGGAGGGCACAAGGGAAAAAGGAUAUCAUGGAAAUCAAUUCACAUCAUACACCACUUAGAAAAUACAGAAAUUAAAGUGUUUGCUCAAAACCUCCUCUAUAACAGGAUUAACUGCCAAGGAAAUUAAAAAUUAUGUAAGAGGAAAAGCUGAAAAGAUAAUCCAGGAUGAUCCAAAGGAUUGUGCAGAUAUCUCUGUACUGUUAACAAUCUUGUCAUUAAAUCUAGCAAUUUAAUGAGCUACAUUUUCCAUUGGUACAAUUAGGUACAGUUCCAUGUACACGCUUAAUGCCUUUUUUACUUUGACAUAGAUCUAAGCAUGAUAUACUUUCUUUAGUGUGUCAUGUUGUGCAUUAAUACGUAUAUAUUUAGCAGCGUACUCCCGUUGAAGGCGCUAUAUCUGUGUUGAUUAAAAAGCCAAGGAUGUGGUUCAUAAACCAUUACUUUCAGGGAUGUCUGAAACAAGUGCUUGAAAUCCGGCUUUGUACUCGCAGUGAUGUAUGGCACUGGCUUGUAUCUGCAGGUUCAUCUCUCUGUUGGUGUUUGGUGUUGUCAGACAUUUUGACACAUUCUACUUCUUCUGUUGGCUGGAAAACAAUGUAAUAGUAAAUAAGAAUAAAAUGAGCCAGUUGUCUUCACAAGUAAAACACUUUAGGAAAGGUGCUGUGAUUUUCUUGAUGGUGAAGUUGUGGCUGUUGAAUUUGCAUGCAUAACUCCUUGUGGAGUUAUAUUACUGUUUUCAUGAAUGUAGUGAAGGCAGUUUGGGUCCCUCUUUGUGUCACGGGUCACACUUGGAACAGCACGUGACGAGAGCUGGUUCUUGACUAUUUUCUUGUCAUGUGCUCUGUUACAGUUAGUCUGAUGCUGUAGGGAUGUGUUACAAAUGUCGAUGAGUGAUUGCUACCCUUCCCUCUCCUAUCUUUUCCUCGCUUUUUAUUACCUCCUGCUCCUGGAGCUUUCUUGAAGCAAAUUCAGUGCUACCCUUAUCAUCUCUCUUUGAAGCUUGUUGCUCCAAUCAAUCUCUUCUUCCCAUGAAUAAUCCCCACUUUUUUUUUUAAAAUAUUACUUUGUGCUUCACUUUGGACUUGUCUUGCUUCAGCCAGUUCUCUUUGCAAUGCGGCACACGUCUCUUCCUCUGAAUGUGGAACAUGUACAGAUCAACUCAAUGUUUUAUAAUGUCCUAAUUACUAUACUCACAGGUUACUGGGUUAUAACAGUGCGCCAGAGGGUCAAUGAACCUUUUAAGUAAAAUGAGAAGAUGCAUCUUCAUGGGACCUAAUUAGAAGGUGAAGUUAAUAAAGACAGAAGGGAAAAAAAGCCAGUAAGAAAGUCAGAUACCUCCAAAAGCUGUAGAAGGAAUUAAUCUGCUGGGGUCUGUCUUAGUACUAUUUGGGCUUUCCCAGGAGGUACAGUGUGAGGAUCUUUGUGAGAGCCCCUUGGCAAGAGCUGAAAGUUCCCGAGUGCCAGUUGCCUGUCGAAGACGAGGAUCUACAGAUGUACAUGCUUGUGACACCUCACAAGAGGAGGGACAGGAGCAACCAUAGGAACAGCAAGAGGCUUGAGUGGCUGCUUGCAUGGUGUUGGUAGGCUAAGCAGCGGCUGGAAAAGCAGUAGAAGUAUGUUUGCUGAUGCCUUCUCCAGUAAUUCUACCUGGGAACCACGUGCCAGAGAAGGGGAGCCUACCUAUUGACAUGCCUGUAUUGGAGAACUGGGAGCAGGGACAACUUCUAGGGCAAAUAAACCCAGAAAGCUUCUGCUGGAGAGAGCAUGGAGGUUGUUAGACUAUAGACUUUUACUGGUGUCUUAUACAGUGGGACCUCUACAUUUUUAUGGGGGCUUUCUGUUGGGAUUUUGAAACAUUAUUCUGAAGCACUGGGAAAAAUAAUUGCUCCAAGACUGAGUAUAUCUGAAUCAUGUAAUUACAAUGGUGGUUUUAAGAAUUGUAGAUAGAAUGAAAAUAGAUGUUGUCCUCCCCCAUGCAGCCUUGGGCAGAAAAAAUCAUGAUGAGUUUGGAAUGGUGUUUGUUGACACCACUGAAUUGUAUUUGAAAAAGAAAUUGCACUGCACUGAUUUCCUUCAAUGUCGGUGAUUCAGUACUAUGAAUAGAAAUCUAUUAUUCCUAUUAUUCUGUGUUCAUAUUCCUCACUGGAGUUUAUGUAAGCUGGUUUCUAUGUAUAUGUUUAGAAACCUGCUGAAUUUUGUGUGAACUAAGUAUUGGGAUGUAUUUUUCCUGCAAAUGCAGUUUGCUUAAAAGGGCAAAACUGUGGCUUUGACUUUCACACAUAAAUCUCAUUUCCCACUUUAGAUAUGUUCAUUUUAUUCUAAGAUUCUUUCAUCCUUUUGUCAACAGUACAUUAGAUCCUCUCUGG